GGUCAUGAGCUUCCAGUGCUCACCCCCACCCUUCUUGCUGCCAGAUGUGGAAAUGGAGACCCAGAGAGGAAAAUCAGUUGAAUCCUGUCCUGGAGUUGCUUUGUGUUCCUGGCUUUGGAGAGUUCCUGGGAACCCAAGGAAAGCUAGCUCCACUCCUGGCCACCUCAUCCCUUUGAGUCUGAGAAGAUAUGAUUCCUAGGGAUGAAAGAGGAAGCUGUGGCCCUGGAGACGAGACCAUCUCUACUCCCCCAGCUCUCCCUGGCAGCACUGGGAGCCCAGGGUCCCCUGCUGGAAUACCCAUAAUAAAGCUCAGUCCUGAACUGAACCAACACA